rnacentral:piRNA from 1 species
UGUAUGGAAAACAAGUAGUAG